CCUACGGGAGGCAGCAGUGAGGAAUAUUGGUCAAUGGACGCAAGUCUGAACCAGCCAUGCCGCGUGCAGGAUGACGGCUCUAUGAGUUGUAAACCGCUUUUGUCCGAGGGUAAACCCUGAUACGCGUACCGGGUUGAGUGUACCGUACGAAUAAGCAUCGGCUAACUCCGUGCCAGCAGCCGCGGUAAUACGGAGGAUCCGAGCGUUAUCCGGAUUUAUUGGGUUUAAAGGGUGCGUAGGCGGUUUGAUAAGUCAGAGGUGAAAUGGCGGGGCUCAACGGGGUGAAGUGCCGUUGAUACUGGCAUGCUGGAGUGGGAGAGACGUAGGAGGAAUGUGUGGUGUAGCGGUGAAAUGCAUAGAUAUCGCGCAGAACACCGAUUGCGAAGGCAGCACGC
rnacentral:rRNA from 1 species